CUAUUGGCCAAAGAGUAUUACAAUUAAUAUAUUUUCUGUGUGAUUAUUUCAGGUCUGAGUGAUGGAGAAAUGAACAAGCAGUCUCUGACUACAGAUGAGGCAUCAUGAUGUGACAAAAUUUGAAGUCGCCAGGCAACUCCGCCACCUGGGCCUGCAGAAGUAACUCCCGCAGCUGCAUAGAAGAAAGACUGCAAAUUAUUCCACACUCAGGUUCAAUUAUUUCAAGUUAAUUUGCACUUGAAGUUCUUUCUCCAAAGACACCUUUAUUCCUCUCUGCAUCACGGAGCUGCUCAGGAUGUAUUCUAUUUAAGUUCAAAACAACACUUGAAACUCAUGGAAAUCUUCCAACUUAGAAAGGAAAUACAAAGAUGAGGAAACCUAAACAUUGCCAAGGGGCAGAUAACUAAUUAAGACCAAGAAAAUCCAAAUAUAAAAAAUUUGCAGCAAGAAAGUAAAUGAACCCUUGUCAUGCUAAUAAGACAAGCUGUCUAGAGUGAAAGCCUGCACAGCUGUGACUCUGUCUGCCUGCCCCAGCCUCAGUGUUAACAUUACAGUGUGCAUGACAAUGUCCAGAUUUGCACUGGGUGUUCAGGAUGCAACUGGGUCUACAGGCAAACGUGGCAGGUACUUUAUCAACUAAGCCAUCGCCGCCUUUCCCAAGUAAAUA